GGCUCAAUGAUUGUAUGCCCAGUUUUCUGGGAGAUUUAUACGCUAUUCUGAGCUCUACAUGUGCUGAAUAUAAGAUCAUUUAUGAGAGCU